ensembl:lncRNA
UUCUGCUAUCGGUAUUCCACAUCAUAACAUCAUGGACAAAAGGAAGAAGAACUAUGUAUCCCAGAGGACCUCACAGUCAGAGAAGGAAGAUACAUCGUAGAAGCUACGUCAUCCGGUUGCGCACGGUCUUUUUCACUUUCGCUUGCUGCCAGGGAGAGGAGUGGGUGUGCUUCCAAGCCGUGCACCUUCAUCAGCCAGGGUGGGCAGCAAGCCUACUGCCCCCCUGUCACAGGCACAGAUUUGUCACGGAGUUAUCUAGGGAAGCAUGGAGAUGCCAGAGCAAAUCCACUGAAGAGCCACAAAGACUAUUAAGAGCUCGUUGCAUCUGUCAUAAAAGGAGAGCCUGAGAGAGCUGUUUGUUCAGCCUGGAGUACAAGAGGCUCAGACAGGUCUUAUCAGUGUAUACAAAUACCUGAUGGGAAAUUUCAACCUCAGUGACUCUGGAAUUCUGUGUUCUGAUCGUUGUUUCACACAUCAGUGUUGGAACAUUCUGCUAAUAAUAAAGUUCAUAAGCAACCAAUGACAUGGGCUGUAGCUGCUGAAGCUAAACUUCUAAGUAAUCCUAAAUGGAAAGAAGAAAAUUGUUCCUGACAAGCUGAAAUUACAUUAUAAAGCCUUCCAUAUUUUGAAAAGCCGUGAGUUGUCCUAGGCAUGGAGCUUAUUUCAGUGUUUAAUGAAACCUGUUUAUAAAGAAAAUAUCUUCCCCGAUAUCAGUUUUCAAAAACGUGUCUCUUAACCCCUGUUUUUUGUUGUUGUUGUUGUUGUUUGUUUUUUGUUUGUUUCUAUUCGUUGUUGGCAUGGAGACAAAGAGGUGCUCCACUACACUGAUCAAUGCAUGGUAUUAUCAACAUAACAUUUUCAGUCAAGUUCCCAGGAGCCUUCCUCCUGAAUCUGUCAUUUUGAUUCAGAUAACUAAAUCAGGCUAAGCACUGCAAUGAUAAUGGAUGACUUGCCUCAUUAGCCGUCUCCUGCUGCUUUACUCUGUCAGGAAGCACCACUGUGACUGUCUGGAUUCCUGGGGAAGGUUUGUCUUAGAGGUAGCUGGUCUUGGAAGGAUCUCAAGAGAGAAUGAGAAGAAUUCUCAACAAAAACAAUCACUAUGACCAAUUCAGAGAUGUCUCAUUGUUUCACAAUCUAUGGUAAACAUUGUUACCUGGACUUUUAGAGGAACAUGAGAGAAGAAAUUACAGAAAUAAUAUAUGCUAGCAAAAAGAUGUGUUUUUUGUCCAUAGAAUAUUCAUCAUGGACCUUUGAACAUUUCUUCUCACAGUGUGUAUAUCUUGAAUAUACACUGAAGACUCAAAGGUUGCCUGAUACAGUACUGAGAAUGGAUGAAAAUUUGUGUGCUUAUUCAGUGUAUUCAAUCAUGAUAUGAAUUUUCAUUCUGGAGUGGCAAGACUCAAGUUCUCCUACAUUUCUGACAGGUUUCAUCACAAAGACUGAGAUAGAAUCAGGUGCUCCAGGAAGUGAAGAGCUGUAAGACUUGGCUUUUUUUUUCCUUAUAGCUUUUUCUCCUAGGAGAGCAAUAGCUCGCCUUUUGCUCAACAGCCUUAUGUUCCCAUUCCCAUUUCAAG